rnacentral:misc_RNA from 1 species
GAAAUGCGAUAAUUAAUGUGAAUUGCAGAAUUCAGUGAAUCAUCGAGUCUUUGAACGCACAUUGCGCCCCCUGGUAUUCCGGGGGGCAUGCCUGUCCGAGCGUCAUUGCUGCCCUCAAGCACGGCUUGUGUGUUGGGCUUCCGUCCCUGGCAACGGGGACGCCCAAAAGGCAGUGGCGGCACCAUGUCUGGUCCUCGAGCGUAUGGGGCUUUGUCACCCGCUCCCGUAGGUCCAGCUGGCAGCUAGCCUCGCAACCAAUCUUUUUAACCAGGUUGACCUCGGAUCAGGUAGGGAUACCCGCUGAACUUAAGC